CAACCAUCAAGCCCCCGGGCUUGUGUUGGGGACCUGCGGCUGCCGCAGGCCCUGAAAAGCAGUGGCGGGCUCGCUGUCACACCGAGCGUAGUAGCAUACAUCUCGCUCUGGGCGUGCUGCGGGUUCCGGCCGUUAAACCACCUUUUAACCCAA
rnacentral:misc_RNA from 1 species